rnacentral:lncRNA from 1 species
UGGUGUGUGCGUUGCUGGUGGUGCUCGGCGAGGACGAGUGCCUAGAGGAGCUGAGCAGGACGCACAAGUGCGCCACCAAUGUCUUUCGCACCUGCACCCCAUGGUACACUCCUAUUUUUUGCUGUGUUGUCAAUCUCCAUGACCAGGGACGUAGUAAUCCCUCUGCAUGUUGUGCCCCUUCCACUGUUUUGGUCUAAUCUAUCCGUGUAGGUCAUCGAUCUCCCAACGGCUGACGGGCGGGCCGUGGCCAAAUCCACUUCUCGUCAUUUGGUCAAUCACAUAAUUGUUUUCAUCUACUUGUAUUCCACCUUUUGGUUGUAAUUCAAUUUAGGAUCAGCAAUAUAUAUGCAAUUAAUUUCAAACUUUGCAGGAUCAUGUCGGCAUGUCAGUCACACUAAGUGUUCAUCAUUAAUUUCCUACCUUAUAGUGGGCAACAUAAUUUGCUCUAUGUGCAUGAACAUUGUAAAUUAAUUUGGGUUAGUACCUAUAGUGGUUAAAGGAUGCUAAUCCAGGUUCUUGAAACUUGCAUUUUGGUCGACCUGUAUUACAACUUGUACUGUAAUCAGCAUAGAAUUAUAUGGCUGCAUUACAUUUCUUUCCAUUGGAACACACGAUUUAUGUUGAUCAUGCAAUUGUCGUCUUUAUUUUUCUGUUUUGUGCAGUUUGAUGGAAGAGAUUUGUACAGAACCGGAGAUUAGGAGGAAUGGACAUACAAGAAACAAUCCAGGAAGAUUCCCUAGGGAAGCAAAAAUUGUUUACUGGUCUGUGUAGGUUCAUUUAGGAAAUUCGAUGAUUGUUGUAAUAUGAAUUUUACAUCCGCUCCACGAAAAAGUGUUGUUUCUACUUACAUCCAUUUUGGUGUGAUAAAUAAUGGUUCUGAACAUGCUUUCUCUUUCUACCAUGGAGACAGUUUUCACUUUGUGACACCUUGGAUACAGUCUCUUUCCUGGGAGGAAGUGAUGUUUUGAUAUGUUAAAUCUUAUUUUCAGGUGCCCCCAACUAUCAAGUUGGUAUUGAAUGGAGAAAUGCCACCUUAUG